UCCGAUUUAUCACCGGCAGUCUGAUUAGAGUUCCCACCUUUACGUGCUGGCAACUAAUCACAGGGGUUGCGCUCGUUGCGGGACUUAACCCAACAUCUCACGACACGAGCUGACGACAACCAUGCACCACCUGUAUACCAGUCCCGAAAGACUAAGUAAUCUCUUACUUAUUCCGGUAUAUGUCAAGCCCUGGUAAGGUUCUUCGCGUUGCUUCGAAUUAAACCACAUACUCCACUGCUUGUGCGGGCCCCCGUCAAUUCCUUUGAGUUUCAACCUUGCGGUCGUACUCCCCAGGUGGGAUACUUACUGCGUUUGCGACGGCACAGAGGAUUAAUCUCCCCUACACCUAGUAUCCAUCGUUUACAGUGUGGACUAC
rnacentral:misc_RNA from 1 species